rnacentral:rRNA from 1 species
GGUUAAGUGAAUAAGGGCGCACGGUGGAUGCCUUGGCACUAGGAGCCGAUGAAGGACGGGACUAACACCGAUAUGCUUUGGGGAGCUGUACGUAAGCUAUGAUCCAGAGAUUUCCGAAUGGGGAAACCCAACAUCUUUUAUAGGAUGUUACGUUUGCGUGAAUACAUAGCGCAUUCGAGGUAGACGCAGAGAACUGAAACAUCUAAGUACCUGCAGGAAGAGAAAGAAAAUUCGAUUCCCUGAGUAGCGGCGAGCGAAACGGGAAAAGCCCAAACCAAUGAGCUUGCUCAUUGGGGUUGUAGGACUCCAAUAUGGUAGUUCUUUCAGAUAAUCGAAUGACUUGGAAAAGUCAGUCAAAGAGGGUAAAAACCCCGUAGAUGAAAUUUGGAAGGCACCUAGGAGGAUCCUGAGUACGGCGGAACACGAGGAAUUCCGUCGGAAUCCGGGAGGACCAUCUCCCAAGGCUAAAUACUCCCUAGUGACCGAUAGUGAACCAGUACCGUGAGGGAAAGGUGAAAAGCACCCCGGAAGGGGAGUGAAAUAGAACCUGAAACCGUGUGCCUACAACAAGUCAAAGCCCGUUAAUGGGUGAUGGCGUGCCUUUUGUAGAAUGAACCGGCGAGUUACGAUUGCAUGCGAGGUUAAGUCGAAGAGACGGAGCCGCAGCGAAAGCGAGUCUGAAUAGGGCGUUUGAGUAUGUAGUCGUAGACCCGAAACCAUGUGAUCUACCCAUGUCCAGGUUGAAGGUGCGGUAAAACGCACUGGAGGACCGAACCCACGUACGUUGAAAAGUGCGGGGAUGAGGUGUGGGUAGCGGAGAAAUUCCAAACGAACUUGGAGAUAGCUGGUUCUCUCCGAAAUAGCUUUAGGGCUAGCCUCGGAUUUGAGAAUGAUGGAGGUAGAGCACUGUUUGGACUAGGGGCCCAUCUCGGGUUACCGAAUUCAGAUAAACUCCGAAUGCCAUUCAUUCAUAUCCGGGAGUCAGACUGUGAGUGAUAAGAUCCAUAGUCGAAAGGGAAACAGCCCAGACCACCAGCUAAGGUCCCAAAAUAUAUGUUAAGUGGAAAAGGAUGUGGGGUUGCACAGACAACUAGGAUGUUGGCUCAGAAGCAGCCACCAUUUAAAGAGUGCGUAAUAGCUCACUAGUCGAGUGACCCUGCGCCGAAAAUGUACCGGGGCUAAACAUAUUACCGAAGCUGUGGAGUACACCAUGAGGUGUAUUGGUAGGAGAGCGUUCUAAGGGCGUUGAAGGCAGAUCGUGAGGACUGCUGGAGCGCUUAGAAGUGAGAAUGCCGGUAUGAGUAGCGAAAGACAGGUGAGAAUCCUGUCCACCGAAUGACUAAGGUUUCCUGGGGAAGGCUCGUCCGCCCAGGGUUAGUCGGGACCUAAGCCGAGGCCGACAGGCGUAGGCGAUGGACAACAGGUUGAUAUUCCUGUACUCGUUGUUUUUGUUUGAGCAAUGGAGGGACGCAGGAGGCUAAGGAAUGCAGACGAUCGGAAAUGUCUGUCCAAGCAGUAAGUCUUGAUAGGAGUCAAAUGCUUCUGUCUACACGGAUAAGCUGUGAUGGGGAGGGAAAUAAUAGUACCGAAGUUCCUGAUGUCACACUGCCAAGAAAAGCUUCUAGUGAGAAAACAAUGACCCGUACCGCAAACCGACACAGGUAGUCGAGGAGAGAAUCCUAAGGUGAGCGAGAGAACUCUCGUUAAGGAACUCGGCAAAAUGACCCCGUAACUUCGGGAGAAGGGGUGCUGAUCUUCGAUCAGCCGCAGUGAAUAGGCCCAAGCGACUGUUUAUCAAAAACACAGGUCUCUGCAAAAUCGUAAGAUGAAGUAUAGGGGCUGACGCCUGCCCGGUGCUGGAAGGUUAAGAGGAGUGCUUAGCGUAAGCGAAGGUACGAAUUGAAGCCCCAGUAAACGGCGGCCGUAACUAUAACGGUCCUAAGGUAGCGAAAUUCCUUGUCGGGUAAGUUCCGACCCGCACGAAAGGCGUAACGAUUUGGGCACUGUCUCAACGAGAGACUCGGUGAAAUUUUAGUACCUGUGAAGAUGCAGGUUACCCGCGACAGGACGGAAAGACCCCAUGGAGCUUUACUGUAGUUUGAUAUUGAGUGUCUGUACCGCAUGUACAGGAUAGGUAGGAGCCGUAGAAAUCGGAACGCUAGUUUCGAUGGAGGCGCUGGUGGGAUACUACCCCUGCGUUAUGGCCACUCUAACCCGCACCACUGAUCGUGGUGGGAGACAGUGUCAGAUGGGCAGUUUGACUGGGGCGGUCGCCUCCUAAAAGGUAACGGAGGCGCCCAAAGGUUCCCUCAGAAUGGUUGGAAAUCAUUCGAAGAGUGUAAAGGCAGAAGGGAGCUUGACUGCGAGACCAACAAGUCGAGCAGGGACGAAAGUCGGGCUUAGUGAUCCGGUGGUUCCGCAUGGAAGGGCCAUCGCUCAACGGAUAAAAGCUACCCUGGGGAUAACAGGCUUAUCUCCCCCAAGAGUCCACAUCGACGGGGAGGUUUGGCACCUCGAUGUCGGCUCGUCGCAUCCUGGGGCUGUAGUCGGUCCCAAGGGUUGGGCUGUUCGCCCAUUAAAGCGGCACGCGAGCUGGGUUCAGAACGUCGUGAGACAGUUCGGUCCCUAUCCGUCGCGGGCGUUGGAAAUUUGAGAGGAGCUGUCCUUAGUACGAGAGGACCGGGAUGGACUUACCGCUGGUGUACCAGUUGUUCUGCCAAGGGCAUUGCUGGGUAGCUAUGUAGGGAAGGGAUAAACGCUGAAAGCAUCUAAGUGUGAAGCCCACCUCAAGAUGAGAUUUCCCAUUUCUUUAAGAAAGUAAGAUCCCUGAGAGAUGAUCAGGUAGAUAGGUCAGGAGUGGAAGGCCAGUGAUGGUUGGAGCGGACUGAUACUAAUCGAUCGAGGACUUAACCAA